ensembl:lncRNA
CGAGGAUUUUGCCAGUGGUGUUUUGCUUUGUCAGUGGGAGGGGGCUUAAGUGUGGGUCCACGGGGCAUGCUGGAGGUCAAGGUCCAUGCUGGAUAUGCGCUGGAGCGUAACUGCAAGAAAGGAAAGCUAGUGGGGGAUUAGAGCAGGGGAGGAUGUGCGUCCCCGGGGCCUGCUGGAGGUCCAGGUCCAUGCCCGAGUCACUUAGAUAAAUUAAAAAUGUUGUUGUUUGGCUUUGUUUUUUUUUUUUUGUAUUUUAUUUGUUCCUGAGUAAAUCGGUUUGGCUGAGAUUAAAGUUAUAGUUUUUACACAGCUGAAUAAACGUCAAGCAGACAGCUGAUUAUCAGAAGUGUGAGAUGCUGGAGAAUAUACUCCGGUGUCCUGUUAUAUUUUAGACAGCAAGGAGUGUAUUAAACUUUACCGAAACAAUUUGCAAAUUUCAUUAAAAUUGAAUAAACUAUCAUCUUGUCUUUAUUUUUAGUUAGCACCUUAAAAGCUUAAAGCUGUAAGCUAAUGAUAGUUAUAUAAGAGCAGAUGCUGCUGGUGCAAUAAGCUGUAGUUUUACGUCCAGUGGAUGAUGAUCUGAUUAGUCGACUAAUCGCAUAAAUAAUCGGUGACUAGUCGACUAUCAAAAUAAUCGUUUGUGGCAGCCCUACUUCUAUGCCCCAUCUUUGUUUACUCUUUCCCACCCAACAAGUGCAUAAAUAAGAUGUUAAAAACGUCAUCAUCAUAUCAAACAUGAUCGAUUUGGGGGGAGUUUGUUUGGCACAUGCUGACUGCAUUCUAAUUA